AUAAUGGGUCAGCGACUUAUAUUCUGUAGCAAGGUUAACCGAAUAGGGGAGCCGAAGGGAAACCGAGUCUUAACUGGGCGUUAAGUUGCAGGGUAUAGACCCGAAACCCGGUGAUCUAGCCAUGGGCAGGUUGAAGGUUGGGUAACACUAACUGGAGGACCGAACCGACUAAUGUUGAAAAAUUAGCGGAUGACUUGUGGCUGGGGGUGAAAGGCCAAUCAAACCGGGAGAUAGCUGGUUCUCCCCGAAAGCUAUUUAGGUAGCGCCUCGUGAAUUCAUCUCCGGGGGUAGAGCACUGUUUCGGCAAGGGGGUCAUCCCGACUUACCAACCCGAUGCAAACUGCGAAUACCGGAGAAUGUUAUCACGGGAGACACACGGCGGGUGCUAACGUCCGUCGUGAAGAGGGAAACAACCCAGACCGCCAGCUAAGGUCCCAAAGUCAUGGUUAAGUGGGAAACGAUGUGGGAAGGCCCAGACAGCCAGGAUGUUGGCUUAGAAGCAGCCAUCAUUUAAAGAAAGCGUAAUAGCUCACUGGUCGAGUCGGCCUGCGCGGAAGAUGUAACGGGGCUAAACCAUGCACCGAAGCUGCGGCAGCGACGCUUAUGCGUUGUUGGGUAGGGGAGCGUUCUGUAAGCCUGCGAAGGUGUGCUGUGAGGCAUGCUGGAGGUAUCAGAAGUGCGAAUGCUGACAUAAGUAACGAUAAAGCGGGUGAAAAGCCCGCUCGCCGGAAGACCAAGGGUUCCUGUCCAACGUUAAUCGGGGCAGGGUGAGUCGACCCCUAAGGCGAGGCCGAAAGGCGUAGUCGAUGGGAAACAGGUUAAUAUUCCUGUACUUGGUGUUACUGCGAAGGGGGGACGGAGAAGGCUAUGUUGGCCGGGCGACGGUUGUCCCGGUUUAAGCGUGUAGGCUGGUUUUCCAGGCAAAUCCGGAAAAUCAAGGCUGAGGCGUGAUGACGAGGCACUACGGUGCUGAAGCAACAAAUGCCCUGCUUCCAGGAAAAGCCUCUAAGCAUCAGGUAACAUCAAAUCGUACCCCAAACCGACACAGGUGGUCAGGUAGAGAAUACCAAGGCGCUUGAGAGAACUCGGGUGAAGGAACUAGGCAAAAUGGUGCCGUAACUUCGGGAGAAGGCACGCUGAUAUGUAGGUGAAGUCCCUCGCGGAUGGAGCUGAAAUCAGUCGAAGAUACCAGCUGGCUGCAACUGUUUAUUAAAAACACAGCACUGUGCAAACACGAAAGUGGACGUAUACGGUGUGACGCCUGCCCGGUGCCGGAAGGUUAAUUGAUGGGGUUAGCGCAAGCGAAGCUCUUGAUCGAAGCCCCGGUAAACGGCGGC
rnacentral:rRNA from 1 species